GUGAAAUGGUGGAAGACAUCAGGCAGUGGUGCUGACCUGGAAAACUUCUGCAGGGACAGUGCCAAGGAAUAUACUGCACGUAACUCUAAGAGGAGCGGGAGAAUGGGUCCAGCCUCAAAGUAAGGAAGCAGAUGAAUGUAGCACGACUGAAAACAGGAGAGGGCUUUGGGUCAGUCCACAGACUCCUGGAAGCCUUCAGAGCCUCUACAGUAUAUAAGAGCAUGGUCAUUUGACCUGUUGAAAUCCCUCCAUCAUCUAAGCACGGAAGCCCAAGAAAGCUCCGGUAAUACAGGGAGUCUGAGACUCUUUCAAAACAAGCUGGAAGAAAGGAGCACGACCUGGAGUUAAAGCUGAGGGCAUGGAGUCCACAGCAGUCAAAGACUGCUGGCUACAUAACCUUGGUCAAGGUGGGAGUCCAGUUCUACCUCUCUCUAGAUGAGAGAGUUCUUCCAACUCCGAUAGAUUCUGAUUUAAAAAACUGAUGA